UGGGGUAUAGCUCAGUGGUAGAGCAUUUGACUGCAUAUCAAGAGGUCCCAGGUUCAUAUUCUGGUGCCCCCU
rnacentral:tRNA from 1 species